CAGCCGCCGCGGGAAUACGAAGGGGGCUAGCGUUGCUCGGAAUCACUGGGCGUAAAGGGUGCGUAGGCGGGUUUUUAAGUCAGAGGUGAAAUCCCCGGGCUCAACCUGGACCUGCAUUUGUGACUGUAUAGCUAGAGUACGGUAGAGGGGGAUGGAAUUCCGCGUGUAGCAGUGAAAUGCGUAGAUAUGCGGAGGAACACCGAUGGCGAAGGCAGCCCCCUGGGCCAAUACUGACGCUCAUGCACGAAAGCGUGGGGAGCAAACAGGAUUAGAGACCCCAGUAGUCCCUGUCUCUUAUACA
rnacentral:rRNA from 1 species